rnacentral:rRNA from 1 species
CCUACGGGUGGCAGCAGUGAGGAAUAUUGGUCAAUGGCCGGAAGGCUGAACCAGCCAAGCCGCGUGAAGGACGAAGGUGCCAAGCAUUGUAAACUUCUUUUGUCAAGGGAUAAAAUCAGGCUCGAGAGCCUGUCCGUGUGUACUUGAAGAAAAAGCAUCGGCUAACUCCGUGCCAGCAGCCGCGGUAAUACGGAGGAUGCGAGCGUUAAUCGGAAUUACUGGGCGUAAAGCGCUCGUAGGCGGUAUGUUAAGUCAAGUGUGAAAUCCCCGGGCUCAACGGGGGAACUGCCUUUGAAACUGGCAGACUGGAGUGUGUGAGAGGAUAGUGGAAUUCCAGGUGUAGGGGUGAAAUCCGUAGAUAUCUGGAGGAACACCAGUGGCGAAGGCGACUAUCUGGCACAUAACUGACGCUGAGGAGCGAAAGCGUGGGUAGCAAACAGGAUUAGAUACCCUUGUAGUC